UUUAAAGAUGAUUUUAUUUAUAAAAUUUAAAAUCUCAUACAUUUGAUAAAACUAAGUACAUAACAAAUUGCAAUAAUAAUAUGUUCAGCAAUAAUAAUAGACAAACGAAAAAGAUACCCAUAAAGUAACUUUAAGUCUCAAUACAUCGCUUUCGUAUCCCUUACAUCAGGAAAGACGAAUCUUUUAUUGUUAAUUACUUUUUUUCUUAGUUUAGGUAGAUAAAAUCAUGAAAUUUA